GGAGAGGUGGCCGAGUGGUUGAUGGCGCCGGUCUUGAAAACCGGAGUACCGCAAGGUACCGCAGGUUCGAAUCCUGCCCUCUCCGCCA
rnacentral:tRNA from 1 species